UGUGUAGGUGGUUGUGUUAGUCUCGCGUUAAAUGCUCCGGCUCAACCGGAGUUCCGCGCGGGAAACGGCACGACUUGAGGACGGUAGGGGUCUCUGGAACUCAUAGUGUAGCGGUGAAAUGCGUUGAUAUUAUGGGGAACACCGAAAGCGAAGGCAAGAGACUGGACCGCUCCUGACACUGAAACACGAAAGCGUGGGUGCGAAUG
rnacentral:rRNA from 1 species